rfam:Neotoma lepida isolate 417 scaffold_786, whole genome shotgun sequence.
ACAACGGCUCUUUUCAGAGCCACCCACACUUUCAGCAGAAAAAGCU